UUCAAGUCUUUAAGAGCAAACGGUGGAUGCCUUGGCAUCUGGAGCCGAAGAAGGACGUAGCAAUCUGCGAUAAGCCUCGGGGAACUGAUAAGCAAGUUUUGAUCCGAGGGUGUCCGAAUGGGGAAACCCCGCUGGGCGGCGUGCCGACCUAGUGACUCCCGCCUGAAUAUAUAGGGCGGGUAGAGGGAACGUGGGGAAGUGAAACAUCUCAGUACCCACAGGAAGAGAAAGCAACCGCGAUUCCGUUAGUAGUGGCGAGCGAAACCGGAUCAGGCUAAACCGAGUGUGUGUGAUAUCCGGCAGGAGUUGCAUAUUCGGGGUUGUGGGACUCACCAGUCAGUUCUGCCGAGCUGGCGACGUGACAGAAGCGUAUAGACGAACGGUCUUGAAAGGCCGGUCAUAGAGGGUGCCAACCCCGUAGUCGAAAUGCGUGUUCUGGCGUGGAGAGUAUCCCAAGUAGCACGGGGCCCGUGAAAUCCCGUGUGAAUCUGUCAGGACCACCUGAUAAGCCUAAAUACUCCCAGAUGACCGAUAGCGGACAAGUACCGUGAGGGAAAGGUGAAAAGUACCCCGGGAGGGGAGUGAAAUAGUACCUGAAACCGUUUGCUUACAAACCGUUGGAGCACCCCUGGUAGGUGUGACAGCGUGCCUUUUGAAGAAUGAGCCUGCGAGUUAGCGAUAUGUGGCGAGGUUAACCCGUGUGGGGUAGCCGUAGCGAAAGCGAGUCUGAAUAGGGCGAUUCAGUCGCAUGUCCUAGACCCGAAGCGAAGUGAUCUAUCCAUGGCCAGGUUGAAGCGACGGUAAGACGUCGUGGAGGACCGAACCCACUUAGGUUGAAAACUGAGGGGAUGAGCUGUGGAUAGGGGUGAAAGGCCAAUCAAACUUCGUGAUAGCUGGUUCUCUCCGAAAUGCAUUUAGGUGCAGCGUUGCGUGUUUCUUGCCGGAGGUAGAGCUACUGGAUGGCCGAUGGGCCCUACAAGGUUACUGACGUCAGCCAAACUCCGAAUGCCGGUAAGUGAGAGCGCAGCAGUGAGACUGUGGGGGAUAAGCUUCAUAGUCGAGAGGGAAACAACCCAGACCACCAACUAAGGUCCCAAAGCGCGUGCUAAGUGGGAAAGGAUGUGGAGUUGCUCUGACAACCAGGAGGUUGGCUUAGAAGCAGCCACCCUUGAAAGAGUGCGUAAUAGCUCACUGGUCAAGUGAUUCCGCGCCGACAAUGUAACGGGGCUCAAGCACGCCACCGAAGUUGUGGCAUUGACAUUAUUGGUAGGCCUUCGUGGUCCAGCCGUGUUGAUGGGUAGGAGAGCGUCGUGUGGCCAGCGAAGCGGCGGUGGAAACCAGCCGUGGAGGCUACACGAGUGAGAAUGCAGGCAUGAGUAGCGAAUGACGUGUGAGAAACACGUCCUCCGAAAGACCAAGGGUUCCAGGGUCAAGCUAAUCUUCCCUGGGUAAGUCGGGACCUAAGGCGAGGCCGACAGGCGUAGUCGAUGGACAACGGGUUGAUAUUCCCGUACCGGCGAAGAACCGCCCAAGCUAAUCCAGUGGUGCUAAACGUCCGAGCCUUCACAUCGUUGCCUUCGGGUGACACCGUGGAGGGGAGCACGUGACCCCAUGCUGGUGCGGUUAGCGUAUUAACAGGUGUGACGCAGGAAGGUAGUCCAAGCCAGGCGAUGGUUGUCCUGGUGCAAGUGCGUAGGCCGAGUCGUAGGCAAAUCCGCGACUCAUACAGGCUGAGACACGAUGCGGAUAAAAAGUGGAUGAUCCUAUGCUGCCGAGAAAAGCAUCGACGCGAGGUUCUAGCCGCCCGUACCCCAAACCGACUCAGGUGGUCAGGUAGAGAAUACCAAGGAGAUCGAGAGAAUCGUGGUUAAGGAACUCGGCAAAAUGCCCCCGUAACUUCGGGAGAAGGGGGGCCUUCGACGUAUUAGGACUUGCUCCGAAAGCGUUUGGAGGCCGCAGAGACUAGUGGGUAGCGACUGUUUACUAAAAACACAGGUCCGUGCCAAGUCGCAAGACGAUGUAUACGGACUGACGCCUGCCCGGUGCUGGAAGGUUAAGAGGACCGGUUAGCCGCAAGGCGAAGCUGAGAAUUUAAGCCCCAGUAAACGGCGGUGGUAACUAUAACCAUCCUAAGGUAGCGAAAUUCCUUGUCGGGUAA
rnacentral:rRNA from 1 species